AAGGGAGACCUAAUUCCGGUAGGAGACGAAAAAAAAGCAGUCCCAACCAAGAAUCAAUCCCAAAAGGUCGGAACGAGGUAUGAGGCUUUCAAACUAGGUUCUGGGUUCAUAAAAGACCUGAAUCAGGAACAAGGGCUAUUAGCUCAGGUGGUUAGAGCGCACCCCUGAUAAGGGUGAGGUCCCUGGUUCGAGUCCAGGAUGGCCCACCUGCACAGGUGGCAAAAACAAGAGAAGCUCCGAAUCAGCACCUUAUCUUAUAUACAUAUAUAAGAGAGAAUGCUGGCUCUGAGUACAGAGUCCAGAGGAACCUUGAAAACUGCAUAGAGCUAGGUGAAAAAGCCAAAAAAGAAGACCGCAA
rnacentral:tRNA from 1 species